GGGCCCGCACAAGCGGUGGAGUAUGUGGUUUAAUUCGAUGAUACGCGAGGAACCUUACCAGGGCUUAAAUGCAUAAUGACAGGGGUAGAGAUACCCUUUUCUUCGGACAUUUUGCAAGGUGCUGCAUGGUUGUCGUCAGCUCGUGCCGUGAGAUGUUGGGUUAAGUCCCGCAACGAGCGCAACCCUUAUCCUAUGUUGCCAGCACGUUAUGGUGGGGACUCGUGGGAGACUGCCGGUGAUAAACCGGAGGAAGGUGUGGAUGACGUCAAGUCAUCAUGCCCCUUACAUCCUGGGCUACACACGUACUACAAUGCUACGGACAAAGGGCUGCGAGUUCGCGAGGACAAGCAAAUCCCAUAAACCGUGGCUCAGUUCAGAUCGUAGGCUGCAACUCGCCUACGUGAAGGCGGAAUCGCUAGUAAUCG
rnacentral:rRNA from 1 species